rnacentral:rRNA from 1 species
AACGAACGCUGGCGGCAUGCCUAACACAUGCAAGUCGAACGAGACCUUCGGGUCUAGUGGCGCACGGGUGCGUAACGCGUGGGAACCUGCCCUUAGGUUCGGAAUAACUCCCCGAAAGGGGUGCUAAUACCGGAUAAUGUCUUCGGACCAAAGAUUUAUCGCGUUUGGAUGGGCCCGCGUUGGAUUAGCUAGUUGGUAGGGUAAAAGCCUACCAAGGCGACGAUCCAUAGCUGGUCUGAGAGGAUGAUCAGCCACACUGGGACUGAGACACGGCCCAGAAUCCUACGGGAGGCAGCAGUGGGGAAUAUAGGACAAUGGGCGAAAGGCUGAUCCAGCAAUGCCGCGUGAGUGAUGAAGGCAGUAGGGUUGUAAAGCGCUUUUACCCGGGAUGAUAAUGACAGUACCGGGAGAAUAAGCUCCGGCUAACUCCGUG